AUCUAUGGCGGACCGUGCGGGGCAGGCAUUUGUCUGGCCGGUUCCUUCGUACCGGUAUUUCGACCCCCGUACGGUCCGCCACCCUC
rnacentral:antisense_RNA from 1 species